AAGUAGGGGAGCCUCCAGCCUCCAAAAAUCUUUCUAUUGCUGCUGUAGUUCUUUGCAAGGAAUAAAAGAAUAUGGAACAUGCAGUGAUUAUGAGCACUGAGAUGUAUCCAUCAUUGCCCAUAAGUUGUACAUCCUUGGUGAUGAGAACAAAUUCCCUGGUCUCAUUCAGCUCACAUUCAGAGUGAAAGGAACAAACGAUGCACAACAAAAAUCUUCAAAGGGCUGCACCUGUAGUUUAGUAGUAAAGGACUUGCCCAGAAUCUGCGAGGUCCAGGGUUUGAUCCUCAGCCCUGCAACAGAAAACAACAGCAACAAAACAAAACAACUGCAACAAAAACAACAGCAACAACAGCAACAACAAAAACCCUUCAGCAAGAGAUAACCACUAUAAACAACACACAGAGAGAUGAAGAUGCUAAUUGAAAUGGAGCAGGUCAAGAAAAUACUCGAAGCAAUGGGCUGGCUAAAACAAUUAGACAAAUAAUUUCCCCGCAUGGUCCAACAUAGAAAGCAAAUCUUCGCCAUUCUCUGGACUUUCUCCUCUGAGAGUUGGAACAGCAGGCCCUCAACUUGCUUCCAUCCACCUGGAGAAGAACCUUCUGACUUUAGACUCAGCUCACAUGUUAUUUGAUUCUUGCAAAAUCUCUUUGGAAUUCAACUUGUCUAAUGACCCAGACUUGUGAUUCUGUUUGACUGCGUAGAACUGUACUCUGAAUGCUCACCCUAACAGUGCUUUUAUUGCAGAGUAGGUAUUUUGUUUUCUUGUUUUCUACUACCUCUCUUCACCAGAACACUCAAAAUUCUUCUCCUGCAGGUCAGCCCUUCCCAUUGUUCAGUGUGUCAUGACUUCCUAUUGAACUUUAGUCCCCAAGGAAAUGGAAUGCAUUCAAAAAUCUAUUUUACUAGCAAAAUAAAUCUCAUUUUACUCCUGUGGGUUUUAUAACAUUGAUGUCAGAUAUAAUUAAAAGUGAAGAA